rfam:Lactobacillus fuchuensis DSM 14340 = JCM 11249 strain DSM 14340 NODE_113, whole genome shotgun sequence.
UUUUCCCUAACUUUUAUCAGAAUUAUUUUUGAUAAAAGCUAGUGAUGAAAUGACACUAACGUAGUUUCUCGCCGUGAAUAACCGAGGAGCUACGUUUUUUU